GCUGUGAUGGCUGAGGGGUGAAGGCGUUGGACUCCAAAUCCAAUUGGGUUCCAAAGCUGCCCACAGCG
rnacentral:tRNA from 1 species